AGGGGUAUAGCUCAGUGGUAGAGCGCAUGUUUAGCAUGCGCAAGGUCCUGGGUUCAAUCCCUAGUAUCUCCA
rnacentral:tRNA from 1 species